UCUUCUCAAAAUUUGUGGUUCACCAUGCACAUAUCGUCCAAGAUUCUGGAAUCCGUUUAUCAAUCCAACACUUUCCAGUUCACUUCCAGAAAUUCCACCAAAUCAUCAUCUGAAAACGACUGAAUCAAUGGCAAAUUCAAUCUUAAAAUCCCACAUAUUCCGCAAAAACUCUCGAGAAAUAUGCUUAUGGCCAAAAACCAUUCUCCCAAACAAUGCUACUCUAUCCAGUAGUAGACGAUUCUCCAGCCUACCUCUUCUUCUACUUAAUCAUAUUCUUCUUCGUUCUUCUCCUCUUCCGAUUUGCCAUAGUCUUCUUGUUCAUCCUGUUCCUUGUGUUCCUCUGCACCGACGUUGUUUACCUUCUCACUUCGUUUCUAUGUCCUCCAUAACCCGGUUACAGGACAUCAGUGCCAACCCCCUUAAGUAAGAACCCUUUUCUCCAUUAUCAAUUUUUAUGGGCAUAUAAUGGUUCUUUUUCGAUCUUUAUAGUCAUUGUUUAGAGUCUAGCUAUAAUAUUAGUUCAAUUUUUACAGGAAAGGUACAACUUUGAAGCACAAACUACUAUGAAUAUAAUCUUGUACCUUGUGGCUUAUUCAUUGCUUCAACGAUUACUAUAAUCCGAAUUGAAAAUUGUCGAUGAAUUUUUUUAAUUCUCUAUUUGGCAUUGCGAUUGCGUUUUGGUACUAGAUAUGUACGUUUGUGUGAUACAGGUGAGGAUGGCGAUAAAGGAGAGGGAGGGUGCACGAGAUGGGUCGAUCCAGACUUUAAUAAUAAUAAUAUUUUUUUUACAAGUAAAACCUACGUAAUGUUAUAUCUUGUUAAUUGGAUGUAUCAUUGACUCUCCUUAGCUCAACCAUAUGAUUAAUUUGGUGCAUUUUGAUUCGUUCUCGAUAAUUGAGUUAUUUCGACAUAUGAUGCUAUGUGGAUCC
rnacentral:lncRNA from 1 species